rnacentral:lncRNA from 1 species
GAAGCGGGGGCUGGAGGUGCCAGGGACCAAAAACUCUUCGACGCUGAGCCUCCGCCCGCAUCCCACGAGACUGGUGUUAAUUGGGCCACAUCGCCAAUCAUUACGUUAACUCCGGACACGGUGUGGAUCCUAAACCCUUUUUUCCUCCAAGUUAUCAUCAUUGGUUAACCUAACCUACCAGGGACAACGGACAGCGUGUAUACUUGGGAGUGGAGAAUUUCCGGGGCUUGCUCUCCGAGAGAUGCU